GUGGUUGUAGUUUAGUGGUGAGAAUUCCAUGUUGUGGCCGUGGAGACCUGGGCUCGAANGGGCUCGAAUCCCAGCAGCCACA
rnacentral:tRNA from 1 species